AUGGCCUCUCCAUGCCCUUCCUCACCGCAUCGCCACCCAGACCCCCUCCCUUCCCCACUGCAUCGCCACCCUAAGCCACCUCCUUCACUAACCCUAUACACGUACCUCAACCUGCACCGCAACCCAUCGGACCCCCCUUCUCCGCGGCGGUGUGCCUCCUUUCCUGAGUUCGCCAAGGACAGUGUCUGCCUCGUCAAGCGCAGCCACAAGCCUAACCGCAAGGGUGUAUGGAAGCACGAGAAGAGUGAUGGCCAUGAAGACUAUGGUCUCCUUGUUAGCGAGCCAGCCAGGAAAUAUGCCAUAGUCAAAGAGCUUGAUAGCCCUGUUACUUUGAAGGAUGGGACAGUUGUCCUGCGGUUCAAAGUGAGGCUUCAGAAUGGCCUCGAGUGUGGAGGUGGGCGGAGUCUAAAACUGCUUGUCGUUCCUGUGAUGAUGAAGGUGGGCGGAGUG
rnacentral:rRNA from 1 species